rnacentral:lncRNA from 1 species
CUGCCAUAAUAAAUUAAGAAGAAAAUCUUCUACAGUAAUUUAAAAAAAAAAAAAAAGAUUCAGGACCUCACCACACUCUACUCAUGUGUUUCUCUCUUUGAUGGUAGUUCACUCGUGUUUAAUGCUCUCAAUAUAGGCUUUUGUGUGAUGUUUUCACUCUUGCCUUUUACCAUUCACUCCUUCUUAAGUACCUGGAUGAAUCAAAUUAUAACAGGAAAGAUAGUAU